ACUCAGCUGACGAGUCCCAAAUAGGACGAAACGCGCGUCCUGGAU
rfam:Schistosoma curassoni strain Dakar, Senegal genome assembly, scaffold: SCTD_scaffold0004208